GGCCAACAGGAAAAGGGCGGACCAGGAGGAGGAGAAGGGUAAACUUGAACUACCUGUCUAAAGAGAGCCUGUCAUUAUUCCGUUACAAGGAAAGAGACUCUGAUUCAUUGCUCUUCCUGGGAUGUUACACUCUCCUUGAGGCAUGGAAGGAAGAGAAAGGUGCAGUACCAAAACAGCAAGGGCCCACCGUGGCGCCGUGGGAGAGCUGGCACAGGGCUGGCAAAGCUGGUCCGAUGAUCAUGUUGACUAUCAGAAGCGGAACCCAUUCAGCAGCAAUAAGCCAGUGAUGCUGCGGACUGAGAGAGGUGAUCCCACUUAUGGGAGGCCACCUGAAGGAUCCAAAACAGAGCAGAGGGGGAAAGAUGCUCACACGCAUAUUGGCAAGGAAGUCGAAGAACUGUGUUUGGUCAUACGCAGGGUUGGGGAGAGAGGACAAGAUGGGCGUGUGCGAAUAACCUUUAAGCACCUUUUUGACAGAUAUGUGACUAUUUCCAACAAAGUUGUAGGUGUCCUCUUGAGAGCAAGAAAGCAUGGGCUAAUUGACUUUGAAGGUGAAAUGCUUUGGCAAGGAAGAGAUGACGAUGUGGUCAUCACCUUACUUUGAAUCAACUGGGUAAACUUUAUUGCAUGAUACUCUGGGGAACAGUUUCAACACUUUUAAGUGGCAACCAUGCUGGCUGGUCAGGAUGCAGUGAACAAAAUGCUAUGUUAACAUGUAAGAUACAUGGUUGCUAGUUUAUGCCUUCGCCCCACUGAAUUCUGCAGUGUCUCUAGUUUACGCUCUCUGUUCAGGAUUAAAUCUCAGCAUGGUCUCUCCCCUCCUCCCUCCCAAUUAAGCUGUGAGAGUGUGUGAACUGAAGCUAGGCAAAUAUAACUUAUAACUGUGGCUGUACUAGAAAUAUAAAAUGUUAGCAAAUUAAAAUAUUUUGGGCAUGUUUUAAGUCUCUUAUCAUUAAAAGGUCAAUAUGCAGUGUA